AAAAAAUUUGACAGCUCCGAAAUUUCACGAUCAUCCGACGAAAUCGGGUGCAUACCAAAUCGUCCUAUUUUUACACCGACGACGUCGAUUGUCGUAGGAUACAUAUUUUCUUCGCCAGAUUCAUUGAACGAUUAUAACGUGAGCAAUCGGUUGCCUAUUUCAUCGGUAAAAUAAUCGAUUGAUUGUGUACUUAGUGCUUAUUUUGAUAGAUUCACGAACAGACGAAAUCGAAUCCCCGUGUUCAUAAACAUAGAGUGAAAAAAAAGGAAGGUUCUUCGGUAGUAAGCGAUUAAUAAAGUGUUCAUAGACAUGGCCAGCUUCGUGGAUGGCCACGUACACAAGGGCUAUUUGCAGUUGAAGAGGACCUGAGGGCGCUCAAUGUUCAGGGCGAUUGGAAGCGAUUGGCCCAGGAUCGAGUUCAGUGGAGAAAAAUACUUAAUUCGGCGUAGGUUAAUCGAAGACCUGUAGCCCAUCAAGUAACAAAAUCAUGAAGUUCCUGCGAUGCCACCCGAUUUGAUAAACCAAUUAAUCCCCCUAUUUCGUCGGAUUCCAUUAUUUUCCACAUCGAUGAAUUUAUAGAUUUAAUCUGAUUUGCUUAAUGAUAAAAUAAAAUAAACCGA